rnacentral:rRNA from 1 species
GAUGAACGCUGGCGGCGUGCUUAACACAUGCAAGUCGAACGAAGCAUUUGUGACAGAUUUUUUCGGAAUGAAGUUGCUUAUGACUGAGUGGCGGACGGGUGAGUAACGCGUGGGUAACCUGCCUUGUACUGGGGGAUAGCAGCUGGAAACGGCUGGUAAUACCGCAUAAGCGCACAAUGUUGCAUGACAUGGUGUGAAAAACUCCGGUGGUAUAAGAUGGACCCGCGUCUGAUUAGCUAGUUGGUGAGAUAACAGCCCACCAAGGCGACGAUCAGUAGCCGACCUGAGAGGGUGACCGGCCACAUUGGGACUGAGACACGGCCCAGACUCCUACGGGAGGCAGCAGUGGGGAAUAUUGCACAAUGGAGGAAACUCUGAUGCAGCGACGCCGCGUGAGUGAAGAAGUAAUUCGUUAUGUAAAGCUCUAUCAGCAGGGAAGAUAGUGACGGUACCUGACUAAGAAGCUCCGGCUAAAUACGUG